AUUCAGAGCAGAUUACAUUAAAAAGAAACGGAUUAGAAAGGGCAAAGUUCAGUAUCUAGUGAAAUGGAAAGGAUAUUCAACAAAGCAAUGUACGUGGGAACCAGAGGAAAACAUCCUAGAUCCCUAUCUGUUAUUCGACUUCAAUUCUAGGUGGAGAAUUUUCAUCCGUAUGGUGUUUAUGGUCUCCAUGACAACAAAGAGAAAAGAAAACGGGACAAAGGUGAGACGCGCUCCGUGUGUCGUCUGCGAACCUACGACAAUGGAAUCGGGGCUCUGGCGGAGGCGGCCGAAUAUAUCAAUUCACUGGAACAGACAGAUGGUACCCGGGGAGGGCUAUUGUUGCCCUCUGAAACGGGUCGUGGACAAUUUGACAAAGAAAUCGACCUCAGUGACAAGACAAACACGCUUUUGGAGCGUGCGAAACAGGAGUGGGUGCGUGAGGACAAUAACAACACGGGUAAUGCGACGUCCGACUGCUGUUGUGUGCAAAUGACUGAAAACGACCAGAAGUGUUUUGAUUGGAUGGAGGGGACACAUGCACAGCACGAGACUUCUGCGGACACGACGGAUAAUAGCUGUGAAAAAGAACAUACUUCUGUACGAUUUUCUCCUCGGUAUUUGUCCGAAGAUACGGAGUCUUACUGCGCAGAAUCCUCCUGUACGUGCACGAGUUUUGACAUGGAUGACGAUGAUGGCCGUGAUAAUGUACAAGUGUCAAGUGAACAAAAUGACCCAGAUAGCUUGUUGGUCACUGACGUCACGUGCAAUUCCAUCACAAUAACGGUCGUUGAAAGUCCAACGAAAAAAGGCUUUUUCAAAUUGGAUUAAUCAUCUGCAUCGACAUGGAGCAAUCCUUGAUACACCCACUGAACAUCAGCUUCUGAGCUAUUUGUGGAAAAACCUCUACAAUCUGCCACUUAGUAACAUCUGCACAAAACACACAUAAUGGUACAAAUUUUGCCGAAAGAUCAGAAAAGUGGUAUUAAUCAAUGAAAGUUAUACACGAAACACAUGUUUUAAAGCCCAAUGUUCGUACAUUAUAAUAAACAAUUAAGAUUUGUCGCUCCGUUUAUGAGCCUUUCAUUACCAACUUUAUUUUCACCUAAUUGCUAUACUAAGUGUUGUGAGACAUUGACGGACUAAGCGAUUUUCAAAAAAAAAAAAAGUAAAGGUUCAUGGAAUGUUUUAUUUUUACAUUAAAAGAGUUUCCUGUCGACGAUGGUCGGUUCCUUAAAGAAGACGAUUUGACCAAGAAUUUAUAUACAUGUGAUAUAUCUAUAUACUGGUAGCAAGCAGCUGACGAAGGUCUUUCAUAACUUUUUAUCUCUCUCAUAAUUUCCAGUAUUCAAACAAUUCCAGGUUCCGAGUUUUCUCUUUAUCUGGACCGGGUUAUACUGUUUUAAGAAUUGUAUGGUUUGAACUUGUUUAAUAAAUGAUGAUACACAAACUAUUGGCAUGCUGUUUUCAUCUGUUGUUCUAAAUUUUCACCGUGACGACCGUUCUAACAAUAGUGUGUAUACUCUCAUGUUGGAUGAUGUCAGCGUCGGCUAUAUUUAAUGACGCAACCUCUAAUUGAAGACCGUGCUACCAGGCCGACCGAAAAACUUUUUGUUUUUCUGAGAAACAAGCUUGGCGCCAGUAGUAUUUUGAUACUCCUACAUGUAUCUAUACAAACAGUGGAGCGUAUUUAUUGUUUGUGUAUAUUGAUUUUGUUUUACACCAUGGUGAGUAGAAGGGCAAAAGGCCCGUAACCCAAAGAGUCCUUCAAAUGAAACAGUAGCACGAACGAUUUUAUUAGAUCAUGAAAAUACCCAACCAUAAGCAAGAACAAACGCAACUUACUAAUUUUGAACUUGUACACAAUGGUGUUGAAGUGAAGCUAAUAGUACUAGUAUGAAAACUAAUUGUGACUACAUUAUGUACAUGUAUGUAUUUCAUUUGAGAGGAGACUGUGGUUCGUGUACAAAACUGCUUGUAUGAACAUCAUGGAAUUAAUCCUGUAUAUGUGUUACAUUAAAAAUUUAAAUUG
rnacentral:misc_RNA from 1 species